CAUGCCACAAGGAAGAGCGUGCACAAGAGGGGGGCUGCUCGCUGGUGUCGUCUCCUCGAGUCAGGGAGUUCACACACCCUCCAAAGCCUUCUCCUUGAACUCUUCAGAACAUCCAGGACUCUCCUGGGACUCAAGAACUCUGCCAAUUUGGCUAAUAAGACAAGCCGGGUGCCCUCAUGCAGGCAGCCUCGGGCCCAUCCUGGCCAGGGCCUUGUAGGACAGCCAAAUGGACUUCUCGGCUGGCUAGGAUCCAGGAGACUGCACGUGCCAUCCAAGGUUACAAGAGUCAGCUUGGUACAAAAGGCCAUCCCUGCUAAAGAGCACAGGAGCUGGAAGGCCUGAUACCAGCGUCACAGACCGUGGCAUUGGCACUUGGGUCUUCUCUGACUUUUGUAGAGGGCCAGAUGUGUUUUUCCACCAUGACUCUCCUGUUCCUCACAAUAAAGCAAAAAGAAUGUUGAA